rnacentral:rRNA from 1 species
UUGGUACUUGUACCGACUGGAUGAGCAGCGAACGGGUGAGUAACGCGUGGGGAAUCUGCCUUUGAGCGGGGGACAACAUUUGGAAACGAAUGCUAAUACCGCAUAAAACUUUAAACACAAGUUUUAAGUUUGAAAGAUGCAAUUGCAUCACUCGAAGAUGAUCCCGCGUUGUAUUAGCUAGUUGGUGAGGUAAAGGCUCACCAAGGCGAUGAUACAUAGCCGACCUGAGAGGGUGAUCGGCCACAUUGGGACUGAGACACGGCCCAAACUCC